rnacentral:rRNA from 1 species
AACGAACGCUGGCGGCAGGCCUAACACAUGCAAGUCGAGCGCGCCCUUCGGGGUGAGCGGCGGACGGGUGAGUAACGCGUGGGAACGUGCCCUUUUCUACGGAAUAGCCUCGGGAAACUGAGAGUAAUACCGUAUACGCCCUUUGGGGGAAAGAUUUAUCGGAAAAGGAUCGGCCCGCGUUGGAUUAGGUAGUUGGUGGGGUAAUGGCCUACCAAGCCGACGAUCCAUAGCUGGUUUGAGAGGAUGAUCAGCCACACUGGGACUGAGACACGGCCCAGACUCCUACGGGAGGCAGCAGUGGGGAAUCUUAGACAAUGGGGGCAACCCUGAUCUAGCCAUGCCGCGUGAGUGAUGAAGGCCUUAGGGUUGUAAAGCUCUUUCAGCUGGGAAGAUAAUGACGGUACCAGCAGAAGAAGCCCCGGCUAACUCCGUGCCAGCAGCCGCGGUAAUACGGAGGGGGCUAGCGUUGUUCGGAAUUACUGGGCGUAAAGCGCACGUAGGCGGACCAGAAAGUUGGGGGUGAAAUCCCGGGGCUCAACCUCGGAACUGCCCUCAAAACUAUUGGUCUGGAGUUCGAGAGAGGUGAGUGGAAUUCCGAGUGUAGAGGUGAAAUUCGUAGAUAUUCGGAGGAACACCAGUGGCGAAGGCGGCUCACUGGCUCGAUGCUGACGCUGAGGUGCGAAAGCGUGGGGAGCAAACAGG